AAGAAAAAUAACCAGUAAUCACAUCGCCCAGAAAUAACCCCAGUUACAAUUGUGGCAAAUACACAUACUUAUAAAUAUUGCAGAUAUAUUAAGUAUACCUAGUAUUUGCUAACACUCUUUCUUCUACUCUGUCAUGAAGAUUCUCCCAAGGUGUUUUUGUAUAAUAUUUAAUUCAUUUUCAGUGGCCAAGCAGUAUUCUACUUCAUGGAUAUACCAGGAUUUAUUUAACCAUAACUUCUGGUUGGAUUCACUCUUAUUAUUUUGUUUAAUUAAAAAAAAAAGACCUCGGCUGGGCACAGUGGCUCAUGCCUUUGAGACCAGCCUGGCCAACAUGGCAAAACCCCGUCUCUACUAAAAAUACAGAAAAUUAGCCGGGUGUGGUUGCCAGCACCUGUAAUUCCAGCUAAUUGGGAGGCUGAGGCAGGAGAAUUGCUUGAACCACAACAACAACAACAACAAAAAUCUCACUGGACAUCCUAGUAGCUAAGGCUUUCCACAUAUUCAUGAUUACUUCUGUUGGAAAGUGCUUUACAACAAAUUGCUAGUUGUCUCAGUCUGGGUUCCCCUGAGAUGAGGAUUCAAGGGCCAGGAGUUUAUU
rnacentral:lncRNA from 1 species